rnacentral:rRNA from 1 species
CCUGAGAAACCCAAAAGAUCGAAUAGGGAGAUUCAUCGUCAGCUCAUUUUGUAUAUGUAUGAGUUAUGAUGCGAGUUACUACUUGUAGUAUUGCUUGCACAUUCUUAUAUAUUUAAUUGCAUUAUGUUGUCGGCGUGCACUUCUCCUUUAGUAGAACGUCGCGACUCAUUGUUUGUUGGUUUACGGCCCAAAUUAUUAGUCUUUAAUAUUUUAUUAUAUUAAAAAUUAUUGGUGCUUUCUAACCGGCUAUACAGUGGUAUUCAUAUGGUAAUAAGCCGCAAUUAUAUGCGUCCAUUUCCAUCGCAAGCAAGGCCAAUUUUUGGUAGUACGGACCAAGUGCCGUCGCUAGUAUUGGUCAGCUGUUGGCUGUUAUGGUAUUCUUGGACUGGCUGAAAAAAUAAUUACCGGUUAGCGAUGCUAUUGCUUUGGGUACUUUCAGGACCCGUCUUGAAACACGGACCAAGGAGUCUAACAUGUACGCGAGUCAUUGGGAUUUUUUUUUAAAUUAAACCUAAAGGCGUAAUAAAAGUAAAGAUCGGCCUUGCGUUGAUCGAGGGAGGAUAAGUUGCAUUAUUAUGUAGCUUCNCACUCCCGGGGCGUCUCAUUCUUAUUACAAGAAGAGGCGCACUUAG